rnacentral:rRNA from 1 species
GCUCAGAUUGAACGCUGGCGGCAGGCCUAACACAUGCAAGUCGAAUGGUAGCACAGAGAGCUUGCUCUCGGGUGACGAGUGGCGGACGGGUGAGUAAUGUCUGGGAAACUGCCUGAUGGAGGGGGAUAACUACUGGAAACGGUAGCUAAUACCGCAUAACGUCGCAAGACCAAAGAGGGGGACCUUCGGGCCUCUUGCCAUCAGAUGUGCCCAGAUGGGAUUAGCUAGUAGGUGGGGUAACGGCUCACCUAGGCGACGAUCCCUAGCUGGUCUGAGAGGAUGACCAGCCACACUGGAACUGAGACACGGUCCAGACUCCUACGGGAGGCAGCAGUGGGGAAUAUUGCACAAUGGGCGCAAGCCUGAUGCAGCCAUGCCGCGUGUAUGAAGAAGGCCUUCGGGUUGUAAAGUACUUUCAGCGGGGAGGAAGGUGUUGUGGUUAAUAACCUCAGCAAUUGACGUUACCCGCAGAAGAAGCACCGGCUAACUCCGUGCCAGCAGCCGCGGUAAUACGGAGGGUGCAAGCGUUAAUCGGAAUUACUGGGCGUAAAGCGCACGCAGGCGGUCUGUCAAGUCGGAUGUGAAAUCCCCGGGCUCAACCUGGGAACUGCAUUCGAAACUGGCAGGCUAGAGUCUUGUAGAGGGGGGUAGAAUUCCAGGUGUAGCGGUGAAAUGCGUAGAGAUCUGGAGGAAUACCGGUGGCGAAGGCGGCCCCCUGGACAAAGACUGACGCUCAGGUGCGAAAAGCGUGGGGAGCAAACAGGAUUAGAUACCCCUGGUAGUCCACGCCGUAAACGAUGUCGAUUUGGAGGUUGUGCCCUUGAGGCGUGGCUUCCGGAGCUAACGCGUUAAAUCGACCGCCUGGGGAGUACGGCCGCAAGGUUAAAACUCAAAUGAAUUGACGGGGGCCCGCACAAGCGGUGGAGCAUGUGGUUUAAUUCGAUGCAACGCGAAGAACCUUACCUGGUCUUGACAUCCACAGAACUUUGCAGAGAUGGAUUGGUGCCUUCGGGAACUCUGAGACAGGUGCUGCAUGGCUGUCGUCAGCUCGUGUUGUGAAAUGUUGGGUUAAGUCCCGCAACGAGCGCAACCCUUAUCCUUUGUUGCCAGCGGUUAGGCCGGGAACUCAAAGGAGACUGCCAGUGAUAAACUGGAGGAAGGUGGGGAUGACGUCAAGUCAUCAUGGCCCUUACGAGUAGGGCUACACACGUGCUACAAUGGCGCAUACAAAGAGAAGCGACCUCGCGAGAGCAAGCGGACCUCAUAAAGUGCGUCGUAGUCCGGAUUGGAGUCUGCAACUCGACUCCAUGAAGUCGGAAUCGCUAGUAAUCGUGGAUCAGAAUGCCACGGUGAAUACGUUCCCGGGCCUUGUACACACCGCCCGUCACACCAUGGGAGUGGGUUGCAAAAGAAGUAGGUAGCUUAACCUUCGGGAGGGCGCUUACCACUUUGUGAUUCAUGACUGGGGUGAAGUCGUAACAAGGUAACCGUAGGGGAACCUGCGGCUG